GCCUGUUCCAGCACCUGUCCACUCUUUCUGAGAAGUAUUUCCUAACAUCCCACCUGAAUCUCCCCUGGCACAACUGGAGGCCAUUCACUCUGGUCCUACCUCUAGUUACAUGGCAGAAGAAGCUGACCCCCACCUCACCACAACCACCUUUCAGAGCUCCCUAGUGAUGUGUAUCUGAAUCCCACCUUCAUUUUCCACCUUGAGAGGAAAGCAGGAAGGGGCAACGUGGCUGUUCUGGCCAUCUCUGUAACAGACCUCUGGCACAACUCAACUGAGAAAUGCACCUGGAAAGUGCUCUGCAUCUCCUCAGUUGGAGCUCUGGUGUUGAAUAACCCACAGGUAAAGUCAUAGCUUCAAGAUACUGGGAAAUGUCUAGUGUGAAAAACGCAUGCAUUCUUCCAGAAAAUCAUUUGUGGGCUUGUUUGUUUGGUUUUUUUUUCAUAUUAAUAAAUGUGCAGUCAUUUUGGGUAUAUGAGAAAAAGGCAGCUUAGGUGUUGUAACUGCUGAACUAAGAAUAAAUUACUGAAAAGAAAGUUGUGGUUGUAGAGUAAUUACAAUGUUAAUUGCCUUGAAAAUGCUCACUAUGUGAAUCUGUGAUUCUAUAAUGCAGAAAAAAUUGUUUUCUUAUUUUCUAUUACUUUGUCCUGUUGAGAAGCUGUGUAAAUAGGUGGGAAAACAGGAGAGGUGCCCCAUAAAGCUGUCAAUCACAAAAGGGCGUCAGAUGUGUCUUUGGGAUGGAAGAUCAAGGGCAUGAGUGGUAGUAAACAUACACUGCACUUCCUUUUUAGCAGACUUUGUUUUAGUAUCUGAAGUUCCUCCUUGUUGUAAUGCUCACUGUCCUGUUUCAGUCUGUUGCUGAUAGGAAAGGCAGUUAAAUCCAUGUUCUUUCUGUUGCAAGCAGGAUGGAGUAUGAUGAGCAGGUCCUCCUGGAAGACAUGUUAAGGUACACAUGAGAUGAAGAAGUGAUCUGAGAAAGCCACUAUGGCUUUACCAAAGGCAGACUGUUCCUGACCAACCUGGUGGCCUUCUGUGAUGGAGUGACAGCAUCAGUGGACAAAGGAUGUCUUCUACCUGGACUUCUGCAAGGCUUUGACCUGGUCCUGCACCACAUUCUUAUCACUAAAUUGGAGAGAGGAAUCUGUUGCCUUCAUGGAGUAAAGCCAUUGACAGAACUGCCACAGCACAUUUCCAAUGCAGUUAAAUCAUUGGAUUGUGUACCAGAUAUCAGAGAGAAACUGCAACACUUCAGUUGUUUAAUCAGAUCAGGGCGAAUACUAAGAACAGGCCUCCCUCCUUGCAGCCUGCCAGGUACAAGUGUGCAGGAGGUGAAGGCCUCUGACAACAAGGCUGAGUGAUGCCAGAAAGGGCAACCAGCAUUUGUGCCUGAGAGAUCUGAGAAGAAGAAGGUCUAGUGCUGAACCAGCUCCGUUUUUGAGCUGAGGUUGUUGAAGGGGAAAAAACCCAAAUGAUGCUUUGGUGGCCUAUUCUGACCUGAACGCCUCACCAGCACAAGCAGGCUGGUUCAGUUCCUCUCAGAAGGGCUUCUCAAGGGUGAGCCUUCUCCCGGGUACUUGCAGCUAAAUAAUUCCAAACCCUCUAUUUUGUGCACUGAAAUUCUGUUUCAUAAAACAUUAAGCCUCUGUGUUCUUUCUCAGAAAAGAACAGGCACAUUCUUAUCAUCUAUAUAGUUUAAACCACUGUCACUUUGUUUGUGUCAAAUCACUCAAAGUGCUUUACUGGUUUACAGUGCAACACUUUAUUUCUUGGUGUGACUGCAGAGUAAACAAUAUACUCCCUGCAGUCUUGAAGAUGAUCUUUUCUGCUUCUAGUAUUCAUUAUGCAAGGCAGCGUAAGUGUAGUAUUUGCAUUUCUAGCCUUAAGAAUUUCUGCAGUCUCUUCUGGUUGAAGAAGAAGCUUUCCAGCUUGGGACAAAGCUGUGUCACUGCGGCAAAUGAAGGUGCCCCCCACCACUGCCAAACCAUCAGCCUCUUUGCCUCUGAAAAAACUAUAAUUCCUGAAAGCCUUCCCUCCUCAUUGCAUCUUGCAUGUGUUUCUUAUACCAAAAUCCCACUCCAUCUCCAGAGACGAUUUCCACCACUUAUUUUCAUGUUCAAAAAAAAAAUGUGCUAAUGCUCAGGGGCAACAUUCUUAUUGGUGUCAUCCCCAUAGUGAAGUAACAUGGUUUCUCUUCCAGCUUCAAUGGAGAAUCCAUAAGGGAAGCUCUUUGGAGAAGAAGAGAGUCAAAGCAGCACGCUAACUCCUCAUACCAAUGAAAUCCCCCAAACCACAAGGAGCAACUUGUGUGAGUCAAGCUUCAGUACAUCACCUAAAUAAAAGAGGAUCCUAUGCAAGCCCACAACCUGCCAGCCACUGUGUUUUUGAAGUGCACAUAAGCACUGGCACAGGCUGCCCAGAGGCUCUGGGGUCUUCUCCUUAGGGAUCUGCCAAAGCCACCCGUGCUCUGGGUGUCCCUCCUGGGGCAGGGCUUGGGCAGAGGGAUCCAGAGGUCCCUGCUAUUCUGUGAGAAAUAGGGAAUUUGUCAUAAACUGAUUUGUUUGAAUGCAGGUCUGGAAGCUCUGCUAAAACUUAGAUUUUUAUGUGAUUCUCUGUCAGCAUUCAGGUUACUAAACUCUAUCAGACAAAGCAGGUACCAAGGAGAGUACUAGGAAUCUUUUAAGGGCUUAAACUGCCUUACAGAACCUUGUCUUUGAGGAGAUUUUGAAGAUGAGCUUUUGUAGCACAUUUCUGGUUCAUGAGUAUCACUUCGCUGAAUUGUUGCUAGAGGAAUAAAUAGAUCCAACCUUACUGUUUCAGGAAGGGAAGCUUAGACAGUAUUAAAGGCUGGAACAGCCUCAUCAGCUCCAUACAUUGAGAUUGUGACACAGCGCAGACUACAAGGAGUCUUCAUUUGGACUUUGUGAAAGGUCUAUUUUUCUGUCUGUCAUUAAGAAAAACAACAUAGAAUUGGCUAGGGUAGAAAGAGCAAACCCAUCCCAGGAUACCCAGAUAAUUGGAUCAAAUUAAAGAGAAUCCAAUGCUAUCAUCAGUAUUGUGUUUAAUACCUGAGAAUAAAAAACUUCCUUUGGUACAGGAAGGGAGAUCAAGCGCAUGACAUUACACUUUUCUUAAAUCGUUUUCAGUCCAUGAGCAGCUGCUUUUGGUCAAAAGAGAGAUCUUGAGUUCCUGUGAACACAUGAGGUGAUGAAGGGAUUCUGACUUUAGCAAGAUCUGCUAUGGUAGGACAAGGGGAAAUGGGUUCAAAUUAAAAGAGGGGAGAUUUAGACUGGAUUUAAAGAAAAA